GUAGUUGGUGAGGUAAUGGCUCACCAAGCCGACGACGGGUAGCGGGUUUGAGAGGAUGAUCCGCUCGAGUGGGACUGAGACACGGCCCACACACCUACGGGUGGCAGCAGUUGGGAAUCUUGCACAAUGGGGGAAACCCUGAUGCAGCGACGCCGCGUGGAGGAUGAAGGGUCUAGGCCUGUAAACUCCUUUUGACAGGAAAGACUUAGGACGGUACCUGUCGAAUAAGGACCGGCUAACUACGUGCCAGCAGCCGCGGUAAGACGUAGGGUCCAAGCGUUGUCCGGAUUUACUGGGCGUAAAGAGCGCGUAGGCGGUCUGUUAAGUGAGAAGUGAAAUCUCCAGGGCUCAACCCGGAAACUGCUUUUCAUACUGGCAGACUUGAGGGAUGCAGAGGUGAAUGGAAUUCCUGGUGUAGCGGUGAAAUGCGUUGAUAUCAGGAGGAACACCCAUGGCGAAGGCAGUUCACUGGGCAUCAUCUGACGCUGAGGCGCGAAAGCGUGGGUAGCAAACAGGAUUAGAUACCCUGGUAGUCCACGCCCUAAACGAUGGAUACUAGGCGUAAGAGGUAUCGACCCCUCUUGUGCCGCAGCUAACGCACUAAGUAUCCCGCCUGGGGAGUACGGCCGCAAGGUUGAAACUCAAAGGAAUUGACG
rnacentral:rRNA from 1 species